rnacentral:rRNA from 1 species
UACGAAGGGGGGCUAGCGUUGCUCGGAAUCACUGGGCGUAAAGCGCACGUAGGCGGACUCUUAAGUCGGUGGUGAAAUCCUGGAGCUCAACUCCAGAACUGCCUUCGAUACUGAGAGUCUUUGAGUCCGGGAGAGGGAUGCGGAAUUCCAGGUGUAGCGGUGAAAUGCGUAGAUAUCUGGAGGAACACCGGUGGCGAAGGCGGCAUCCUGGACCGGCAUUGACGCUGAGGCGCGGAAAGCCAGGGGGAGCAAACGGGG